ACCGGUUGCGGGCGGCGCGUGGGCGCCCGCAGCACCAGACACAUCACCGUGCCACGGGAACAUCGUGGCAUUUCAGGGCGUU
rnacentral:sRNA from 1 species